rnacentral:rRNA from 1 species
GACGAACGCUGGCGGCGUGCCUAAUACAUGCAAGUAGAACGCUGAAGGAGGAGCUUGCUCUUCUGGAUGAGUUGCGAACGGGUGAGUAACGCGUAGGUAACCUGCCUGGUAGCGGGGGAUAACUAUUGGAAACGAUAGCUAAUACCGCAUAACAGUAGAUGUUGCAUGACAUUUGCUUAAAAGGUGCACUUGCACCACUACCAGAUGGACCUGCGUUGUAUUAGCUAGUUGGUGGGGUAACGGCUCACCAAGGCGACGAUACAUAGCCGACCUGCGAGGGGGGUCGGCCACACUGGGACUGAGACCCGGCCCAGACUCCUACGGGAGGCAGCAGUAGGGAAUCUUCGGCAAUGGACGGAAGUCUGACCGAGCAACGCCGCGUGAGGGAAGAUGGGUUUCGGAUCGUAAAGCUCGGUUGUAAGAGAAGAACGAGUGUGAGAGUGGAAAGUUCACACUGUGACGGUAUCUUACCAGAAAGGGACGGCUAACUACGUG